rnacentral:misc_RNA from 1 species
GAUGAAGAACGCAGCAAAAUGCGAUACUUGGUGUGAAUUGCAGAAUCCCGUGAACUAUCGAGUUUUUGAACGCAAGUUGCGCCCGAAGCCUUUUGGCCGAGGGCACGUCUGCCUGGGCGUCACGCAUCGCGUCGCCCCCCACAAUUCUCCGUAAAGGGAACAUGUGUUUUGGGGGCGGAUAUUGGUCUCCCGUGCUCAUGGCGUGGUUGGCCGAAAUAGGAGUCCUUUCGAUGGACGCACGAACUAGUGGUGGUCGUAAAAACCCUCGUCUUUUGUUUCGUGCUGUUGCUCGCAAGGUAAACUCUUUAAAAACCCCAAUGUGUCGUCUCUUGACGACGCUUCGACCGCGACCCCAGGUCAGGCGGGACUACCCGCUGAGUUUAAGCAUAUCAAUAAGCGGAGGA